GACGAACGCUGGCGGCGUGCCUAAUACAUGCAAGUUGAGCGCUGAAGGUUGGUACUUGUCCCAACUGGAUGAGCAGCGUACGGGUGAGUAACGCGUGGGGAAUCUGCCUUUGAGCGGGGGACAACAUUUUGAAACGAAUGCUAAUACCGCAUAAAAAUUUUAAACACAAGCUUUAAGUUUGAAAGAUGCAAUUGCAUCACUCAAAGAUGAUCCCGCGUUGUAUUAGCUAGUUGGUGAGGUAAAGGCUCACCAAGGCGAUGAUACAUAGCCGACCUGAGAGGGUGAUCAGCCACAACGGGACUGAGGAAACGCCCAAGCUCCUGAGGGGAGCAGGAGUAGGGAAACUUCGGCAAAUGAGGGAAGUCUGAACGAGCAACGGCGCGGGAGUGAAGGAAGUUUUCGGAUCGUAAAACUCUUUUGGUAGAGAAGGACAAUGGUGAGAGUGAAACACGCAUCAAGUGACGGUAACUACACAGUAAGGGACGGCUAACUACGUG
rnacentral:rRNA from 1 species